AGCAGUAGCCACGGGAAUACGAAGGGGGCUAGCGUUGUUCGGAUUUACUGGGCGUAAAGCGCACGUAGGCGGACUUUUAAGUCAGGGGUGAAAUCCCGGGGCUCAACCCCGGAACUGCCUUUGAUACUGGAAGUCUUGAGUAUGGUAGAGGUGAGUGGAAUUCCGAGUGUAGAGGUGAAAUUCGUAGAUAUUCGGAGGAACACCAGUGGCGAAGGCGGCUCACUGGACCAUUACUGACGCUGAGGUGCGAAAGCGUGGGGAGCAAACAGGAUUAGAUACCCCGGUAGUCCCUGUCUCUUAUAC
rnacentral:rRNA from 1 species